rnacentral:rRNA from 1 species
CUACGGGAUGCACCAGUGGGGAAUCUUGGACAAUGGGGGAAACCCUGAUCCAGCCAUGCCGCGUGAGCGAUGAGGGCCUUAGGGUUGUAAAGCUCUUUCACCGGUGAAGAUAAUGACGGUAGCCGGAGAAGAAGCCCCGGCUAACUCCGUGCCAGCAGCCGCGGUAAUACGGAGGGGGCUAGCGUUGUUCGGAAUUACUGGGCGUAAAGCGCGCGUAGGCGGACUAUUAAGUCGGGGGUGAAAUCCCGGGGCUCAACCCCGGAACUGCCUUCGAUACUGGUAGUCUUGAGUUCGAGAGGGGUGAGUGGAAUUCCGAGUGUAGAGGUGAAAUUCGUAGAUAUUCGGCGGAACACCAGUGGCGAAGGCGGCUCACUGGCUCGAUACUGACGCUGAGGUGCGAAAGCGUGGGGAGCAAACAGGAUUAGAUACCCCCGUAGUC